rnacentral:rRNA from 1 species
CUAAGGCCACCACCCUGAGCACGCCCGAUCUCGUCUGAUCCCGGAAGCUAAGCAGGGUCGGGCCCGGUUAGUGCUUGGAUGGGAGAAAUACAGCUGUCCCUUGGU